GGUAGGCAUAGCAUGGCUUAGAAUCUGAGACCCACUGCUGAGUAGAAGCAACAGGAUAGCUCCCUUGAUGCUUGCAGCCUGGUGUGGCAGAUAGAUGGCCAUCAAAUAGUCAUGGGGAUGUAAAAUGUCAGCUGGGAUGGGUCCCCAGUCCUAGAAGACUUGAUGGGGUCCGGGGAGUCAGGAAGCUGGUGAUGCCUGGGCCAGCCCAAGGAUGCUGAGGGAUGAGCUCAGAGCACUGGCCUCCCAGACCCUAGAGGGAGGCCUGGGUCCCCCAGUCCAGGGACAGGAAGUGGAGGGGAAUGUGGCUGGAGGGAGAAGUGGCCACCAGAGACCUGAUUCUUUCAGCUGGAGCAGAGCAUCGGGAGGAAAUCCCUCCGCAGUGUGUCGAAGGCAUGCCAGGAAGACAUGCCACACGCGGUCCAGCCCCCCUCGUGGAGGGGAUCAGAAAAGAAAAGCCCUGAGAAGCAAGAAAGCAAGGAUGAAAAAAGAACUUUCAACUUGGAAAUACCCUGAAAACCAACUGGGGCCAUGCAGCUCUCAGGAAACCACUGUCUUCCAUCGAGCAGAGUGUUCAGGACAUUAGCCUGAUGAAUUUGGUUCUUAAAAAUCCAUAAUGGAAGGCACACACACUGGAAAAGCUUUGGAGCCUGCUGGGACAGAUCCAGUGAACCCAGGCGCACCUGCCCGUGACCUCACUGUCCCAGGAGAGUUGCUUACAGGUGUGCACCAAAAGCCACACCCAAGAGCAGUUACAGCAUCGCCACACGCAAUGCCUCGCCCUGGAAGCAGCACCACUGGCCAUCGACAGGAGAGCUUCAGACAGAUUACAGUGUAGACAGGGAGCAAGGAAAGAGAGCUUCUGACCGACGUGGCUCACAUAGCAGGAAUGAGAACCACACCUGCUACGUUCACCUCCAGUAGCCUUGGCUCCCUUUACCGCAGCCCAAAGUUGGCAGUGCGAAUCUGCAGAGAUAGAAGUCUGAGAAGCACCCAUGGCUAGACAGGGCUUGGUGAGGGAAACAGGGAGCAGGGCCCCUGGGCUCCAGAGCUAACAGGCUGCAAGGAUGCAUGGUUAUAUAAAGCCCUCCCCACAACACUCGCUGCUUAGUAAAGUGCAUUCUGAUAGCAAAAUAUGAAAGAAAGAACACUACAGGUGGAUGAGCCCCUGGGAGCCACAAGGCUGGAUGCCAGACACACUUAGGUGCCUCCCCUGCCCUUGGGCUCCAUACAGGGGUACCUAAGGGAGAAAUCUGGAGCCAAACUCCCCCCACUCUAUGCCCAUUUCAGAGUCCAUGCCAAGCCCUGAAAUCAGGGUCCCACGUCCAAAC
rnacentral:lncRNA from 1 species